rnacentral:rRNA from 1 species
AAAUUAGCGCUGUGGAACCACCCGAUCCCAUCCCGAACUCGGAAGUGAAACGUAGCUGCGCCGAUGGUAGUGUGGCUCAAGCCAUGCGAGAGUAGGUCAUCGCC